rnacentral:rRNA from 1 species
UACGUAGGGGGCAAGCGUUGUCCGGAUUUACUGUGCGUAAAGAGCGUGUAGUCGGCCACGCAGGUCCGUUGUGAAAACUGGAGUCUCAACCUCCAGCUGUCGACGGAAACCGUAUGGCUAGAGUCCGGAAGAGGAGAGUGGAAUUCCUGGUGUAGCGGUGAAAUGCGCAGAUAUCAGGAAGAACACCAAUGGCGAAGGCAGCUCUCUGGGACGGUACUGACGCUGAGACGCGAAAGCGUGGGGAGCGAACAGG